rnacentral:misc_RNA from 1 species
UUUCCGUAGGUGAACCUGCGGAAGGACCAUUAUUGUAUAACAGAGCUGCGAAGGCUAUCGCUGACUCGACAGGACGCGCACGCUCGAGUGCCCUCACAAACAUCAAUCCGACCCCUAUGCGCACCAACGGGCGGACCCCACUCUGGCUUGUUCCGAGGGGGGCUUACGUUUUCACACAAACUGUGUAUGCAGUGUAGAAGGCAAUUUUUGUCUUUGCUAUCACGCAAUCAAUAAAACUAUCAACAACGGAUCUCUCGGUUCUGGCCUCCAUGACGAACG